rnacentral:rRNA from 1 species
AUUGAACGCUGGCGGCGUGCUUAACACAUGCAAGUCGAUCGGUAACAGGUGUAGCAAUACAUGCUGACGAGAGGCGGACGGGUGAGGAAUAUUUGGGAAUCUGCCCAUCAGCGGGGGACAACCCGGGGAAACUCGGGCUAAUACCGCAUACGCUCUACGGAGGAAAGCCGGGGACCGCAAGGCCUGGCACUGAUGGAUGAGCCCAAAUCGGAUUAGCUAGUUGGCGGGGUAGCGGCCCACCAAGGCGACGAUCCGUAGCUGGUCUGAGAGGACGAUCAGCCACACCGGAACCGAGACACGGUCCGGACUCCUACGGGAGGCAGCAGUGGGGAAUAUUGGACAAUGGGGGAAACCCUGAUCCAGCGACGCCGCGUGGGUGAAGAAGGCCUGCGGGUUGUAAAGCCCUUUCGGUAGGGAAGAAAUCUCUUGUCUUAACACGGCAAGGGUUUGACUUAACCUACAUAAGAAGCACCGGCUAACUCUGUGCCAGCCGCCGCCGUAAUAC